GAUGAACGCUGGCGGCGUGCCUAAUACAUGCAAGUCGAGCGAACAGACGAGGAGCUUGCUCCUCUGACGUUAGCGGCGGACGGGUGAGUAACACGUGGAUAACCUACCUAUAAGACUGGGAUAACUUCGGGAAACCGGAGCUAAUACCGGAUAAUAUAUUGAACCGCAUGGUUCAAUAGUGAAAGACGGUUUUGCUGUCACUUAUAGAUGGAUCCGCGCCGCAUUAGCUAGUUGGUAAGGUAACGGCUUACCAAGGCGACGAUGCGUAGCCGACCUGAGAGGGGGAUCGGCCACACUGGAACUGAGACAAGGUCCAGAAUCCUACGGGAGGGAGCAGUAGGGAAUCUUCCGCAAUGGGCGAAAGCCUGACGGAGCAACGCCGCGUGAGUGAUGAAGGUCUUCGGAUCGUAAAACUCUGUUAUUAGGGAAGAACAAAUGUGUAAGUAACUAUGCACGUCUUGACGGUACCUAAUCAGAAAGCCACGGCUAACUACGUG
rnacentral:rRNA from 1 species